UACAGAGGGUGCAAGCGUUAAUCGGAAUUACUGGGCGUAAAGCGUGCGCAGACGGUUGCGUAAGUCAGAUGUGAAAGCCCCGGGCUCAACCUGGGGAAUUGCAUUUGAGACUGCGUAGCUAGGGUGCGGAAGAGGGAAGCGGAAUUUCCGGUGUAGCGGUGAAUGCGUAGAUAUCGGAAGGAACACCAGUGGCGAAAGCGGCUUCCUGGUCCAGCACCGACGUCAGGCACGAAAGCGUGGGGAGCAAACAGG
rnacentral:rRNA from 1 species